rnacentral:rRNA from 1 species
AAACUUUCAACAACGGAUCUCUUGGUUCUGGCAUCGAUGAAGAACGCAGCGAAAUGCGAUAAGUAAUGUGAAUUGCAGAAUUCAGUGAAUCAUCGAAUCUUUGAACGCACAUUGCGCCCUUUGGUAUUCCCAAGGGCAUGCCUGUUCGAGCGUCAUUA